AACCACCGGAUUGCAGUUGGAGAAAACUACGGACAAAGCACAUUUGUAACAGAUUAAACGUAAAUGUGUGCCGCUUAACAUGUUUUAAAGUUAUUGUAUUGGAAUGCUACUGAUUUGUAGUUUGUGUACGUUUAUUAACAUCUGUUUGGUUCGGUUUGUUGUCGCGGAAUUACGUGUAGAUAUCUGUGAGCUAUUAGCAUCCCAUGCAGUAAAGUCAAAACAUCGUGCAUAUCACCGUGUCACAUACAACAACUUCAUUAUCUCGGUGUCUUGCAUCAUGGAAAUUGGCAAGAGACUUUUCUCAAAACUAUAUCUGUGAUGGAUGGCUUUGAGGGGGAUGUACAGGUUGCUAUGGAAGACCAAUGACCAGUGGUCCCACUACACGCAUGAAUGGUAUUUUGAAAGGCACAAGUAGCUUCAGAAUUGAAUGGAAAAAGGACUAUUGAUAAACAUUGAGAUGAGAGGUACAUCUUACCAUUUCACAAAAAAGCUAUACAUAUGAUUGAACGCUUACCUAGAUUUUACAGACAUUAUUUUUCAUGUUGCCAACUUGUCUUUGCAUAAUUGUUUUCAAAUCAGCUGCAGUGUGCAUUAUUACAUUACGUUACACUUAAGCUUAGUUGAUGCUUUUUAUCCAAAGCAACUUACAGUUAUUUAUAGGGUAUUGGUUACAGUCCCUGGAGCAAUGUGCGGUUAGGUGCUUCGCCCAAGGGCACUUCAGCCAUCGAUGGCGGGAUCAUAGGUUGGGAUUCGAAACUGCAACCCUCUUAUCUUAAUUCCACCUCACUAACCACUAGGCGCUUUUAGCUACACUAUGGUAUGAA